CCCCUCUCAGAAUCACACCUGGAGAGUUUCCAUAGUCUACCAGUCUUAGCUACGGGAGGGAAAGUCAAGCAGAGACCUAAUCAUUCCAUUCCUAGCUUGGACAGUGGCUAGUGAGUGGAAGGCCAUCUGCUACAAGU